ACGGAAGGCAGCAGUGGGGAAUAUUGCACAAUGGGGGGAACCCUGAUGCAGCAACGCCACGUGUGGGAAGAAGCAUUUCGGUGUGUAAACCACUGUCGUGAGGGAAUAAUGCUUGAUUUCGGUCAAGUUGAAUGUACCUCGAAAGGAAGCACCGGCAAACUUCGUGCCAGCAGCCGCAGUAAUACGAGGGGUGCAAGCGUUGUUCGGAAUCACUGGGCGUAAAGGGAGCGUAGGCGGAGGUGCAAGCAGUCUGUACAAUCCCGGGGCCCAACCCCGGACCUGCAGACUGGACUGUUCCUCUUGGAUAGUUCAGGGGCUGGCGGAAUUCCUGGUGUAGCGGUGGAAUGCGUAGAGAUCAGGAAGAACACCGAUGGCGGAGGCAGCCAGCUGGGGACUCAUCGACGCUGAGGCUCGAAAGUGCGGGUAGCAAACAGGAUUAGAUACCCUGGUA
rnacentral:rRNA from 1 species